AUGGCUUCGUAGACGUGAAUGCCGUUGUAGAUGAUCUAGCUGUGUUUUUUGUUUUCUGUUUUAUUUUUCUUCCUUUCUGUGUAGUUCGCCCGGUAAAUCUCAUUUGAUGUAUCAUCAGGGCGGACUCGCUAACACACCGUUGCAAGCACCAUAGUUUAACUAUCUUUGCAAGUGUUUCCGAUAUGUGGAUAAUAAAUGUCUCUUGGAUACAAUUUGUGGUCAUGUUUAGGAAGCAAUAUCAUCGCCAGCAUCUAAUAUUCCUUCACAAAAAUGCAUUUUCAUAUAAUGGAUAGAUGCCUGUCUUGGGCAGUUGACCCUUUUGCUCAUUGUUGCAGUGUCUGGAACACUUCGGCUAACUUCUGAAGUCCACCGUAGAAUCGGUGUUUUCGAAGUUGUGCUUGGUGUUCUACUCUAGUACGCGAUGGUUCUUCAUGAUGCUAGACUCCCAGUUCCCAUUCACAGUGCACCUCCUGUUCAAAGCUCACCAAGUAAAUUCUCAGCAAAAAUUAACCGAAAUGAUUGAAGAUAUGCAGCCAUACAAACUACAGAAAAAUGGCACUAUCAGUCAGUUAAAAUCAUCAGCAACGACGCAUGUGCUUGUCCUCACAUAUUGUAUCAAAAAGCUGACACCAUGAGCACACAUAACAUGUUUAAUUGUCAUAUAAAAGGUCCACGAUAACAAAAAAAAAAA
rnacentral:lncRNA from 1 species